rnacentral:lncRNA from 1 species
CACCGUUAAAAUUAGGUUUCAUUAUUUGAGAAGAAAUUUGAACGAAAAUUACAUAUUUUGAGAUAAAAAAUUGUAUUAUCUCAUAUGAGAGUUACACGUUUUGAGAAAUAUUACACUAUUUUUUCUCCUCCUUUUCCUUCGCUUCGCAUGCUUCUUCCGUGCCCAUCUGAGGUCGACGACGCGUGGUGGAGGCGGAGGAAAGCGCCGCGAUGCCGGAGAAGAGAGCGGCGGAGAAGUGGGCCGGGUCGGGCCCUCUGUACGACGCGCCUGGCCCGUAGGCCAGCUGCGGUCGGCCGGGCCGGGCCAGCAGGCUUGCUUCUGGGAGGGUCGCGCCCGCUGCGGGACAGGCCAGGCCAGAAGGCCCUCUUCGGGGCGGGCCAGGCCUGAGCGCUCGCUGGCCCGCUGCAGCCGGGCAGGGCCCGCCCUCCGGUACCGGGUGGGGCAGGACGGGCCAGCGCAUCCGCAGGGCGUGGCGGGCCUCUCUCCCACAAUUGCUUCUCUCUUCUUUUUUUUUUUUUUUUUUUUUUUUUUUAACUUCUCUUCUCUGUCGAUGCACAAAGAAGAACAUAAAAAAAGAUGACAACACACCUAAGUUCGAAUNUUUUAACUUCUCUUCUCUGUCGAUGCACAAAGAAGAACAUUAAAAAAGAUUACAACACACCUAAGUUCGAAUCCUAGUUGAUUCACAUUUUCAGCUAAAUUUAUUUCCAAAUGAAAUAAACGAAGCGGGUAGCGUGCUACCAAUCUCUCAAAAAAAAAAAAAAUUACAACAGAAAUGCACGAAAUAGAAAGAAAAAAAAAAAAAAAAACACAACGAAUGUAAGAUUUUUUUUCGUAUAUCUCAUGGUCAUUUUAAAAGAAAUUAAUACUUAACUUAUUUGGAUAAAUCGCAAUCCGCACCUUAUGUGAAUCGAGUUGAAUUUCAACAAAUCAAUGUGGACACACCACAUGGCAAUAUUUUUAAAAAUAGAUUUCCAUUUUAAGGUAUUAUAUCAUAUUUUGGUUCUCGAAGAUGUCGGUGUACGGACUGGGAGGAUGGAUGUAAAUAAUCUUAACUACAAAACAGUGCUUCGUAUCACUUUCUGAAAAGAUUAAAAAUAAAACUGAAGUUCAAUUUAUAAUUUUUUUUUUUUUCUGAAAAUUGCAGAGGCUGAAAGGAGAAAAACCAUGGUCUGAUAGAGGACAGAUGCGUUGAUGGACCAGAUCGAGGCAAAGCUUUUUCUCUUGGAACUCUCUCAAAAUUUAGAUGAAUAGUCAAUUAAACCAUUCAUAGUCUUUAACUAAGAAAGACGGCAAAUGCAGCGCGCCGACCUCCGCUUUCUCGUGUUGAAGGCAAGAAGCCACCAAAUUGCAAAUGCUAGUUUUUAUCAAACAACAGCGUAGAAACUCAUAAUUUAUGGCACUUCCCAUAACUUCUAAUUGGAUAAUAUCAGAGAACUUUAAAAGUUUCACAUGGGAGAUAAUGUAAGUGUGUCAAACCCUUAUCUAUUGGAAGCACACUAAUACUAAUAUGAAAGUUAAGCAUUUAAAUAGAUGAUUUGUAUCAAACGAGUUGUUGGUAUUAUAUUUAGUACUAGAGCCGGAUUGGCAACCGAAAGUGUAAGAUAAAUUUAAUGCACCUUAUAAUUUUUAACUGUUUGUAUAAAUGGAUCUAACGAAAAUAUAAGAAUCUAAAUGACAAAUUUGAUCUGACGCGGAUAGCAGGAUGUGAAACGGAUUCAAGUGAUGACGCGUGCAACGGAUCAGAUUGGAACAUUUUUGCAUUUGACCUAUUUAAAUCAGAGGUGGAGGAAAUCCGAGGUAACGAUGUUGCGGGUCAAACUUCUGAUCCUUGAUGGAAGGUUAAAAAGAAAAGAAAGAAAAGGAUGGAGUGAAAGUCUGAUGUGCACCAUCGGGCUUGGCACUACUUUGCAUCGGUUGGAUUUAUGGAAGGUUACUGCAUUCCAGAAGCAUAGAUAGCUGGAUUGUUUCGUUGGCUUGGGGUAAUAAUAAUAAUAAAGUUCAUUGUUAGAACCAAGUGCCCAUUUCCUUUCUCCUCAAACAACAACCGAGAGAGAGAGAGAGAGAGAGAGAGAGAGAGAGAGAGAGAGAGAGAGAGAGANNNUAUAUAUAUAUAUAUAUAUAUAUAUAUAUAUAUAGAGAGAGAGAGAGAGAGAGAGAGAGAGAGAGAGAGAGAGAGAGAGAGAGAGAGAGAGAGAUAAACAAAAAGGAAAUUCCAGCAUAGAGAUUUUUUUUUUUUGGGGGGGGGAACAACAUUUGUAUUUUGUAUGCAGCAAUCAGCAGGUUGGCUAAAAAGAAGAGCAAACUCAUAAAAAGAAAGGAAAAAAAAAAGAACAGCUCAAUCUGAUGCAUCUCUAUCUUGUUUAAUGUAAAUAUUAGCUCCUAAUUUAAGGCUGUAAUUAGUUAAGAGUUUCCAUUUCAAAAACUAAUGAAGCCUCGGAAUGCGCUUUCAUUGUUGUAUUUUUACUGCUAGUGCACGGCUUAUGUAAGCUGAACUCAAUCCAUCAUCAGAGUAAGACCUGUUUGGAUGCGAGAAUAUUUUAUUCGAAUUAAUUUUUUGAUUUUACUUAAAAAAUUUAUAGUAAUUAGUUAAAAAAGAAUGUGAUGAAAUGACUAAAAUAGAAUACCAUAUCUUCAUAUCAUUUUUUAAAUAAGAUAAACUACCUCAUAAAUGAAAUAUGCUAUAGUACAAAAUUAUGAAUGUCAACUUAUUUUCAAUGAGUAAAUAUUAAACCUUUUACUUUCAAUCAUACAAGAAAAAUUUUUAUACUUAAUAAGCCAUCAGUAUACAACAAAUUCCGACGUUCUAAUAGAGCUUUGAAGGCAUGUUUGGGUGGAUGAAUCAGUUAUUCAAUAAUAACUUGUGCGCUACAAGUAUUCUCACAUGGUUGCAACCUUUAUUUUUAUUUUUAAUCUCUAGCAAAUUUCUACAAUUAUAAUUUGUUAGAGGAGUAAUUCGCCUGCAAUGCUAUAUAAUUUAUAUGAGAAAAGGAAUUGCCGAUAAGUUAACAAAGAAGAUGUGUUGAACAUAAUAAUAUUCAUGAAUAUAAACAAGACCACCGACCGUCCCUAGAGCAAGUGACAAAGGGCUUGGUGGUUGGCAUCCGAGACCCAAGUUCAAAUCCUAGUUGAUUCACAUUUCCAAUUAAGUUUAUUUCUAAAUGAAAUAAACGAAGCGGAUAGCGUGCUACCUAUCUCUCUCUAAAAAAAAAAAGAAAAAAAAAGAAGAAUAUAAACAGGACCUAAAUAUAUAAAAUUUAACAAUGGUGGAGAGUGAAUGAGCUUCUCAGUUCUAGACAUGAAAAUAUUGAUCUAAUUCCUAUGCAUAGGAAUUGAUAUUGCCAGAAUUAAUUUUAUUAUUUACAUGCCAAAACGACUUGUUGUAACUUGUCAAGAUACAAUUUUCCGGGAUGUUGAUCAAUUCAUGAACUAAUAGACGAUUAGUCAAUCACUGACCCUGUAGUUGGGCUGCUCUUUUAAAUAGUAGGAGAGAAUUUGGAUUGAUACUGCACCUGAUAAGAUUUGAUAGCGAUAUGUUAUUAAUUACUAAUAUUAUUAUUAAAUGAUAGUACUGUAAGUUUCAUCCUAACUAACAUAAUAAUUAUUGACAGGGAAAAUUCUCAAUUCGAAGGGACUCAAUAACAAAACAGGUUAUAAGUUAACAAACAAAUGUAGUUAACAAGUGAACAAACAGGAGUAGGUAAACCUAAACUACCCGAAGAUAAUUACCCGGCGAACCCUGCCGUCGUAGGAGACCGCGAGCAACAGCAAUUGAGAGAGAGAGAGAGAGAGAGAGAGAGAGAGAGAGAGAUGAGGAAAAGUAGUGGAUCCUCUUAAGAAACCAUAGCCAUAUAUCUGACACGUCCACCCUCAAUUUCCCCAUCACAGUGUGAAAAAUUAAAUCGAUAAAUAUAACCGUAGAAGCAAUUUCCGAAACAACCAACAUAUCUAAAAGAUGUAGAUCAAGAUCCAGAAAAUAUUCUAUCACAAUAUCGGAACCCUAAUUACAGGGAUGUCCAAUCCACAAUGAAUCCUAAUCACAUCAAAAACCAUCGUAAAACCUUCCCAAAUUCGAAUUCAGAAGAAUACGAAACUCUAUAUACCCUAAUCAGAGGAAUCAAAUGCACUGUAGUUAAAAAAAAAAAAAAAUGGAAACGAUCGUAAGGAUACGUACUUAUUAGCGAGAGAGGGGGGGGGCACGAAUUCGAUCCCGUUCCACAUCCUCCCCGAUUCAUCCCGUUCCCUGGGAAUCGGGAUCGGAGACUCUGUUCUCGUUCCCGUAGCUCCCGAUCGCCUCGAUCGGAUCCACAUCCUCCAUGAUCGUCAUCGACGUCCCGUUCCAGUUGCUGUACCCGUCGAUCGACUUGUUCUUGAUCCGCGCGAUGAUCGACUCGUCCUUGCUCGGCAUCUCGAUCUCUGCGGACGAUCCGUAACAGCCGAUCCGAGAGAUCAAAGAGGUCGCGAAAACAAGGCGAUCAGAGAUCAAAGAGGUAGCGAAAAGAGACGCGAUCGGAGAUCAAAGCGAUAGGGUUAGAGAGGGAGAAGAGGGGGGGNGGGUUUACCGGCGCUGGAGAAGAACAAGAGGACGGCGAAGCAGAGGACGAUGACGAGGGGGAUGAGGUGGAUGGCCCUCUCGGCGAGGCGCGACUGCGCCGCCUCCUUCUUCGCGGCGUCGGAUGAGGGGUCGUAGAGGGGGAGUUGGUCGACAUCGAGGGCGAGGCUCGACGAUCUCGCACCUCCGCCGCCGCCGCCCAUGGUGAGGUAGCUCCCCGAGCGGUGCAUCUCUCUCUCUCUCUGUGUUUCUCUCUCUAGGUUCUUGAGGGUUCUGGAGAGAAAUGGAUCGGAAAGGGGAGAGAAAAGGGGGGGUUUUAUAGUGGUGCGCUUUCGCUCCGCUUCGCUUCCGAUGGAGGGUAGGGGACGCAACGCGGGAAUUUGGUUUUUGGGAUUUCGCGUCGCAGAUCCAGGAAUGAUGGACCGAGUGCACCGUGGACCACUGUUCUACGCCGUGGACCACCGUUCUAAACCUAGUUAUAGUCUUAAACUUCGUUUGGAAUUGCGGAGAGAUAUGGAAUUGCGGAGAGAUUGCAUUAUAUACCGUGUCUCAGUACGAUAAAAAGAUUGCGGUCCGCAUAUUGCGAUGUGAUGAGUCGAUUAUGAUAUAUUUUUUUUAUGGUCCUACUAGAGAACGCAAAUGUAAAUCUCUAUAUUCUUUUACCCUAAUUCUAUUUUAUCUAAUAACGUCGGAUAAAACUCAAUACCGAACUAAGCUUUAUAGGUAGGAGAGAAAAAUAUCUUAGACAUAAUUUUAUAAAAAAUAUUAUCUAUACACUUAUUUAUUGGAGUAUAUUAAUUAUCCUACUCAUCAAAAAGUUUAUUGAACCUUUUUAAAAUAUAUAUUUUAAGACUAAUAAAAAAACAGUUGCCUUUUUAUGAAUAAAAUAUUAGAUUUAUAUUUUAUAAAUUGAUAUAGAAGUAGUAUUGCUCUAAUUUUAUACACAAUCUUUACACACAUUUUCGCCUACCUCUAAUUAUAUAAAAAGUCUCUGGAAAUUGUGUUAACAAUAUUUAUAAAUAAUCUAGUACUGUUACAUUUCUUGCAAAGGAAGUUGUACUACGAAUUUUAGAUGCAUUUAAACCAAAAUUUGAUUUUUCUAAAUGAAACUAUAAAAGUAGCCUCCACAGCACUUCAAAAUCUUUAUUUCAUUAAUUAUACUUUCUAGACAUCUUUAAUAAGUAAUAGAAUUUUUUUUUUUUUUUUUUGAAACUAAUUGAUAGUUAAAUAAUAAUUUUUGAAAAUUGCGAUUUCCGAACAUGUUAGAUGCCCAAAGUUAUGUAGAUCACAUUUCAUUGUUUAAAAUCUUACUGCAAAAAUUAUAUAACUUUACAGUUCAAAAGAAUAAGAACUGCAUCUUAAUCUAUUAGUUCUGACUCCAGAGGAGUAUUUUGAAGACGGGAUCGACUUCUACGGGAAUAUAUUUAUGAAAUUUGAUCUCAUUCUCAUAUUCUAAUAGUAGUAGUAGAUUGUUUGAGAUGAAUUUUAAGUUAUGACUUAAAAAAAAAUAAUAACAAAUAAACAAAAAGAAACUAUUCCAGGGUGCACCAUCACGGUCCACGGAACAAUUUCUCGGCAGUUCAGCGGUUUCGUCGGCUCCUGGAAAGUCGAGUUCAGAGCCUCAGAGGUGACUGAGAUCCGGGUUCGUCGGAGUAGGAAUGGUACUCGUUGGUUGCGGUCUACGAAAAAUACUUGGUGGUCCGCGUCCUGCGACCCAGCAUUAUCAAUGCACGAAACCUAAUAAUAAUAAUAAUACCAACUCAUCUAUUUCCCACUUCAGAAGCAAUUAUUAAUGAUGGGAAAGUUAUACUUUGUAACGCAAGCAUGUUUUAAUUUAUUAGGCUUCGUCUGGUUUGGAGGUAAGUAAAAACUAGUUAUUUCAAAAAUAUGUAUGAAUUUAAGAUUAAGUCUGUAAUACAUUAAUUUUAUGUUCGAAUGAAAAUUGAGUUCAGGAUAAGUAAAAUAGCACUUAGAUAGAUAAGAUAAAAUAAAAGGAAUAGUAGGUAGUUAUAAAUAAAAAAAAAUGGUAUUGUUCUUUAUAUUUGAAUUUAAAUUUUUAAAUUUUAUAUUUAAAAUUUAAAGUUUAAAUAGAGUCCGGCUGAGAUACUAUCGAUAGCAUGAAGCAUUUGGUACUAUCAAUUUUUUUGCCGUUAGAUUUAUCUUUUUUAUUAUUUUCAUCCGUUCGAUUAUACUAUUCAACCAACCACCCACUCAACCCUAGGGACCCACGUCAUCCUAACUACACAUCUUUUAAUCCAAGAUCGAAAAUUUAAUAGCAUCAAGUUAUUGGUAUUAUUAAUAGUAUUACAGCCUAGUUCAAUUUAAAUAUAUAUCUUUAAAAAUUGAAAACUUCAAAAUAAAAUUUAAAAUUUUAAAUCUUCAAAUUCAAAAAUUUUAAAUUUUAAAUUUUAAAUUUAAGAUUAAAUAUAAAUUUUAAAAAAAUUAAAUAUCAAAUUUUAAAUUUUAAAAAAUUAACAAUAAUAAUAUAUAAUUUAAAAUUUAAAAUUAUAAAUUUAAUUUUAAGAUUACAAAAUUUUAAAUUUAAAAAAUUUAUAAUUUAUAAUUUAAAUUAUACCCCAGCCAAACACCACAGUAUAAUUUUUAAUUUAAAAUUUUUAAAUUACUAUAAUUAAAUUUACAGUCUAAUUUUAUGGACUGAAUAUCAAUAUGCCCAUAAAGGAACAAUAAUAUGAUAUUUUAAUUAUUAUCACAUCAUUAAUUACAACAUCAAUACAUCACUUUCGUAUUAACAAUAUAUGACCAUUCAGUCAAAUUAAUUAGACGGUAAAACUGGAUUGCAACAAUCUAGAAAGCAUGAGCCCAAAAUUAUAAUAAAUUAAAAUUUGAGGAUAAAGCUGUCGCGCUAGCCGUAUAUUAUUGACUACUAGAUUGUCAGAUAUGAUAGUUAAUGAUUGAUUUAUUUUUCAAAUUUGAUAUCUAUAUUAGAUGUCAUAUUGAAUAAUUGAAAUUAAACCAACUACUAACAGUUAUAUGCAUAAUAAGAACUUACUAACAAUAUAUAAAAAAUCUUUGUAAUGUAGUAUUAAUCAUGGUCUUAUAGUCGAAAAAAAUUUAUUAAGAUAAUCGUUCUCUAUCAGCUUAACCUUUUAGAGCAGCCAAUUGUUUCAAAUGGUAGAAGAGGAGAAUGUGCUGAUCUACUUGGACCUGAUCUAGUUGAUCCAAACAUCUCUACAGAGUUAUAAUCACAGAUGCAAAUUUCUUCCCCAGAGAAAAGCUUCCCACACUUGAAGUGUUACAAUCCCAAAUUAGAAAGGAAGAGUUAUUUCCCCACCUCAAUAGAUUAGCACUUCCUGCAAUCAUGAAUCAAAAAUCAGAGUUGGGUUCAGCAUCCCGAAAUGUUACAAAAUGCUAAAAAGGAAAGGAAAAGACAUAACUUACAAUUUUUUAACAGAACACAAUACUCUUCUCGUCAGAAAUUUCGCUGCAAGUGCUAAUUCAUUUGGAAGGUAAAGUUGUUCUGCAACUCUUGGAGAGAUCUGUUCUACAAAGUUUUGAUUUCGACGACUCUCCUGCGCAUUAGUGGCUCACUUUCAAAACCAACAAAUAUUAUGCACAAAACUUCAGAACCAGUAAACUGUAAAGCGAGCAAUAUUAGAACAUGCAUUAUUGUUGCAUUUUUUUAGUAGAAUAUCAAACUAUAUAUUGCCACCUGCAUAACUAGUACUCAUUUUCUCAAACAAAGUCAUCGUAAAGUUCAUUCCGGUUCAUUUCCUACCAGGGUACCAUCCACACUACAACAAACACACAUUUGGGCAACUUAAUUGCAUGGCGGUGUUAGCGAAAAUUUUCUAGGCACAAAUAGUCAAGUAGGUAUUAUCACCAUGAGCAAAACUAGAAGAAAAAUUUUCUGGUACGAACAUCACUUAGGGGCUCUGAGAUGAAUGUCAAGGUAAAUAGAUGAAUAUGGACUUCCCCAAAAGCAAGAAAAUGGGAACAAGGAAUCAGAUCAACUGAGUAUGCUCAAGUCAUAUGAAUGAAUGGAUAGACCAACACAGCUAUUUGUUCUAACUAAAUACAGUACUUGCAAUGUACAGAGAUUGCUUUCACAAUAGUGCUUACCUCCUUUAACCCAUCAAUUUCGAACUUGGGUCUCCAUCUUCAAUGUGGUAUCAGGAUCUUCUCUCUCCGAUGAGGGAAUAGGAGUUCUUGCCCACAAUGCCGGUUGAAGCAUGUUGACUUUCAUAUAGCGGAAGCCGAGUUUUCGGCUAAAGGCUUUUCACUAACAAGAAUAUCAUAUGUCGUAUCAUCAGGCAGAAGGCCUCUGUCAAGCAUUUCGUCGUGCAACUGAAAGGCCUCUUGCAACUUGCCUUCCCUAAAGAAUCCAUUUAUCAAUGUAUUAUAUACAACAACACUCGGAGGCACUUUGAAUUCAUCCAUUUCAUCCAGAAUUUUCCGAGCUUCUUCUAAUCUUCCAUUGCGGCAAAGACCAUGUGUUAAUGCUGUGAAAGUGAUUUCAUCAGGAACAUUACCCUUUAAUACCAUCUCAGAGUAAAGUUCUGAAGCCAAUGGCACAUUACCAACUCUAAGCAAUCCAUCAAUUAGGGUUGUGUAAGUGUCUGUAUCACAAGAAGUACCUUCUUUAACCAUUCUUUUGUGCAGCCGAAUAGCAGCUUCCAUUUCAUUCCGAUUUUUAUACUCGGUGAUGAGACUGUUAUAUAUAAUUGCACUAGGUUUCAAUCCAACAUUGCGCAAGUCAUCAAACAACUUAAGUGCACCAUUUAAGUUCCCUUCUUUGCAAAAACUAACAAUAAGAGAAUUAUACACAGCAAUAUCCAAUUCAAGGCCUCGUCGUUUCACCUCAUUAAGCAAUUUCAAAGCAAGAUCACUGCAACUUUUCUUACAGUAACCAUCAAUGAAAGUGGUGAAUGUGAUUAUACUCGGGGAUAUACCUUUCUCGAGCAUUUUUUGGUAAGUCGAGAAUGCUGAAUUCAUCAUGCCGCCUUUUACAAAGCCAUUAAUUAUACUAUCAUAAGUCAUCCGACUGGGAAUAAACCCUUCCUCGAUAAAUUUAUCCAGCAUUUCGUUAACUUCUGAUAUUCGACCAACCAUACAAAGGCCAUUUAUUAAGGUGUUAUAUGUAUAUUCGUUACAAGCAAUGUUUAAUGCACGCAUUUCAUUAAGAAGAUUAUAAGCCCUAUCAAAAUCUUUUUUUUUUAUGUGUCCAUCCAUCAGAGUAGUGUAUGUGACAACAUUAGCUUUAACGCCACUCUGAGACAUUUCAUUAUAUAAAAUAGUAGCUGAAUCCAUGUCACCUUGCUUGCCAUGCCCAAAGAGCAAACUAUUGUAAGAUACAACACUCGGUUUUACUCCCCUUUCCUUCAUUUUAUCCCAUAUAUUCAAUGCUUCCUUCAAUCUACCACAUUGGCAAAGCCAAUGCAUAAGAAUAUCGUAAGUGAAGACAUUCGGUAUACCAAACCCAGUUGCCUCAUCAAACAAAUCCAAAGCCUCUUUAAAUCUAUUAUCUUUGAGAAAGCACCUUAUCACCGUAUUAAGGUUAAACACAGUAGGCGACAUGCCCCUCUCUUUCAUUUGGCAAUAAAGCUCGUGGGCUUUCUCUGUGUUUCCGUUUCUAUAACAACCUUCUAUCAAAACGGAGUAUGUAACAUUAUUUGGAACAAUGCCUUCCUCAAGUGUACUAGAGAAUAAAUCUAAAGCGCUAGUUAAAUCUCCCUGAGCACAAUACCCUUGCAUCAAACUAGUUGAAACAACUAUAUUAGGUGGCAGGCCAUUAGCGAGCAUUUCACCUUUUAAACUCAACGCUUUGGUAAUGUUUCCUUGUUUGACACAAGCUCCGAUAACAGAAUUAUAUAUGAACUCAGUAGGAACAAAGCCAAGCCCUUUCAUCUCGUCCAAUAGAUCACAAGCCCGCGUCAAAUCGGACAUCCUGCAUGCUGAACGGAUAAUGGCAGCGUAAGCCCGCACAUCCGGUUUGAUUCCCAAAUUGACGAGUUCCUUGAAGUACGCUUCAGCUUCUUCCGGUUUCUCGUCCUUUAAACAAGCAUUCAUCAUUAUAUCAAGCGUUCGAAUGUUAACUUCCAUUUCCUUUUCCCGCAUCUCCCUGUAACACUCUCGAGCUCUCUCCGUACAAUUCGACUUAACCAUAGCUGUCAACAAAUUGUUUCUUGAAUUAACAUCAGGAAUUACACCGUUUUCGACAAUUCGGUGAAAAGCUUCCAUUGCUUCGUCCAUCCGACUAGAAUGUGCGUAACAACUCAGUAAGUAGUUAAACGAGCGAGGAUCAAAAUCGCACCUUUUUGAAGUCUCGAUCAGGUGAUCGACAAUAACAUUUGGGCGCCAGCUAGAAUUGCUCAAAAUGGAGUUUUUGAGCAAGCCUAGGGCGCCGGAAAUCCAGUUGCAUCGCGCGAGGAUAUGAAACGAGAUGCAGAGAGGAUUGAUACCCAUAAAUCCUCUAUGCAAUUUGAGGUACUUUGAAACCGAUUUGGGAUCGCUCUGGUUGUUUACAAGGAACUCGAUCGCACGCUUCUCCGACGGCGUGUUCAACGGAUCGAAAGCAGCGUAAAGUAGCCGAGUCGAAGAGAUUGAAGGGGGGGAUUGGGCAUUUCGAGGAUCCUCCGAAGUGGGUUCGGGAGAGGAAGUUACCUGAAGUGGACUCUCGCUGUGAGUCGAAUCGUGCGGAGGAAGAAGAGAAGAGGUAGAGGCGGAGCGUGCGAAGGGGAGAGGGCGCCAUGGAUGGAGAGGCAAUGACCUCCGUAGGGCAUUCAUGGAGGGAUCGGGGGAUGGUAGUGGGGAGUUAGGGUUUAGAGCGAAGAGGGGGAGGGGGUUUUAGGGUCAUGGGGUGGUCGGAGGAGGAAGAAGAGGCGGGUGGGCGGAGCGGGUAAAGUUGAGUUGCAUGAUUUGAAUCCGCUAUAGUUUCGAAUUUAAAUAGCGUAUAAAUAAGUAUAAAUAGUAUAAAUAUUUCAAAACAAUAUUAUAUAAUAAUUUUAAAUUAAAUUAAUAUGAAAAAAAAUAUUUAUUCUUGUUCUUGUACAUUAAACAUAGCAAAGAAAAUUCUAAAGCCUUUUCUAUGGUAGGACGGAAAGAAGUGAUUUUUAAACUCAAAAACUCAGAAGCUCCGAUUUAAAAUGCUUCUGUUUGGAACUUUUAAUUCUUUAAUAAUGCUGAUGAGGAAAAUCGAAUAUAAUAUUUUUUUUAACUCUUCCUCAAAUAUACAAAUUGAUAUUGUUUUACAGUUAGAAGUGUUUGGUUUCACGAAAGGACGUAAAAAUUAUUUUUUGAAAAACAAUUAUGAGAAAUACUGUUUUUCAUGCUUUGUUUUUUCGGACAAAAAAUUUAAAAAAUAUUAACACUACUUUUUCAAAAAUUCUAAUAAAAAAACCUACUUGUUUAAGAAACCAAACAAACAAAAAAAUUUAAAUAAAGUUAUUUUCUCAUAUAUUUUCGGAAAACCAAACACCCCCUCAGUUCUUUUAUUAAUUUUCCAAAUAUCAUGUGCGAUUUUAUUGUAGUUUUUUUUCGCCAUAGUCCAUCAAGCCAUUAUUGCAUGUGCACACAAGUAGAGUUACCUUAUCAUAACAAUUUCAUUACAUUUUUAAGAAUGAAUUUAUUAGUCUCAACUAUAUUUUUGGAAGUCACAGGCCGUCUCACAAGCAGCUGAAAGUUGAGAUGAGAUUAUGCCCAACGUAAAUUCAUUCAUCACUUUGUUCCUGCCAUGGGUUCAGCAUGCUACAAAGCGAAAGCGAAACAUUUUACCUCAUGCCAACAAAUAUGUAUUUGAGGUGCAGCACCAGUAGGAUAAUCCGGAGACUAAUACUGUUGAUUAGUACUUAAACGUGCAUCGGCACUCAGAAUUAGUUAUUCGUCGUGCUCCGUUGAGAGAUUUAGGAUGAGAAGUUCGCAGGUUCCGCCAAUUGCGGUAAUCUGGAAAUGGUCCUCUGUAUGCUGUUGUACUCCAUCCGCAAUUAUCCCGUUUACCUGAUGAGUAUAAAAGUAGUAGAGUUUGGCAGGUUUAGCUCUUCGCCAAGUACCAAAUAACAUGCUCAAAAUCUGCAAUCAGUCAAGCAAGUAUAAACUAAAACUUGUGAGAUUUGGAUCGGCUUGUGGAAAAGCUUAUCUGCUUUAGAAGCAGAAACACAUAUUGCAAAUAAAAAAAAAACUUAGAGAUUUCAGCUGCAGUGGGAUAUUCAACACGAGCUUCUAAGGCCAAAAUCAGAAGCUCGAACAGUCAAAUCUGACGUUUGUAGUGGCAGGAAACAUUUGGGGAUUUCAAGAUUUGCUAGGCCUUUCUUUGAACACUUUAGUCGCACAACAAUUUUGCGAAAUCUCCAGCCAGUCAAAACAAGCCUAAGUACAGAAUGCCAUGAUUAAAAAAGAAAAAAAGAAGAGCACAAAUCAAACCUGAUUUCUGUCUGGCAACAAUGAAAUCCACAGCCCGCAAAGACUUAUGCAGAACUGCCCUAUUUGUGUCUGACAAGAUAGGCACUUGUGCAAUGACUGACUUUAGGUAGGUUCCGAAAAUAGAUACUGAAGCAAGGGAGCCACUACUGCUACACUCAUACUGUUGCCCAACAAGGCAUACCUGCCAAAAUAGGCCAUUUUAAGCCUUUUCAAAAUGACGCUAUACCCAUAAAGAUAAACCAGAGUUGAACUUGAUGAAGAAUCAGAAUUCAAAUGGAUUCCAUAGCAGCACAUAAAAAUGACAAAGUAUCCCUUUGGCACCUUACUUUAGGCCCUUCAACCAUUUAGUUACCAGACAUCUAAUCAAAUUCUAGACCACCAGCUAUCCUUAAAACUAUCUUAACCCUGAUUUAUAAGGAAGGUAUAAUGUUGGUAAGAAAUUCAAGGCAUAAAAAGUAACUAACCGUUGUCUAAGGCCGAUGUGACCUGGGAAGUCGAAAUCCUCAGGUAAAGAGUGCAAAUUGGCAACCUGAUGUGUAAAUCAUGAAUUGGUUAAAAAUUUAGCCAAAAACAUGUGAAGAUUUGAAGUGUACUAACCUCUCGUGGUGUGAAAAAUCGUAGGAACAUCUCCUUCCCCGAAGAAAUUUCAGGGUUUUCUUCUGGCUUCAAUUUGGAUUUCUGGGAGGUAAAAUAAAAAAAUUUAGCAGGAACAAUAACUAUUACAGAUGUUUCUGAAAAACUGGGUGAAAAUAAAGAAGAAAUAUUAGGGAAUUGUCCCACCUCAGAAGUCGCCAGUAAGGAGCCGGUUCCCUUCACAUAACGGUAAUAGCUUUUGGUAAAACAACAGCAGCGUUUAGAUUCAGGGUAUACAAUAUCUGGUUCAAGGUUAAAGAUUGCCUGAACGUGACACAAACUAGGCAACUAGUUUUCCAGCUACAUCAAAGUAAUGUUGAAAGUUUUAGAAAAAAAGACCAAGGAUACCCAUGGCAUUUCCCCAUCUCUCAAUCAAGCUUAGUGGGACAACAUACUCAUGCAGAAAACUUUGCUUUUUAAUGCUUCCUUUUACUUCUUCUCCAUGUUGACUUGUGUUGGUUUCAAUAGUAUCAAUUUCUUCAAGUGCAGCUCUAUCGGCCAAAACAUCUUCACUUCUGAAUUCAGAAGCCACUCCUACAAACUCCUGCUGAUGGCUAUACAAACUCUCUUUUUCCAAAAAACUUCUAAUUGGCUCACAAACUGUUUGGAGUUCCUCCUUAUUUUCAACAGCGUGCUGGCUUGUCUCUGUUAUUAUAGUACUCUCAGAUGUUCUGCAUGGAGGUGUCCAAAGCAGCUUGUUAUCGGAAAGUGAGUUCUGAAAGGAUAAAGGUUUUCUUUUCGCCUGCAUAUAUUACAAUGAAUUGAAAGAAUGGGCCCGACGCUGAAAAGGACAUUGAAACACAGUGGUUGAAUUAUUCAACAUUCUUACAAAAACUAUAAUACCAAAGAGAAUGAGAUACCAGGCAAAAGUAGCGAGGUCUCGAAUAUGGAAUUCCAAAUUGCAAUGGGCUUAAGAUAUAUUCUUGAGUAACAAAACCAAGCCUGGCAAGAACUUCCAUCAAUUGCUUGUGUGUGUCAGAUAUCUGCAACAAAACAUGAAUAAACUUCUCAUCUAUUCGUUUAAACUAGAAAACUCAGCAAAUCGAAAGCUUUACAGCAUAAUGUUUUACAAAAUUCACAAACCUCAAAUCCAACUACAUUUUCCACAAAUAACAGUAGUGGAGGCUGAAGCAUGUGUGGCAUAAGGUCAAGAAUCUUAAUGAAUGAAGAUGCCCGAGCAUCAGCUGAAUGUUUUUUCAGACCUAACAGUAGCAACUCUAAAUUAGACCCAAUAAAAUCAAAAAGUUGGAAGAAUCACAAAAAGUUAAAAACAAAGUCAGAAGAUAAACCCUGUCGCGUGUAUGGUUGACAUGGAGGGGAAAGAAGCCAUCCGUGUGCCCUGUACUUGUCUAGGUCAGCAGCAGUAAGUAUUUGGAUGUUUCCCUUCAGCCAACAAAACCAUUUAAGUUCUACUUUACCAAUUUACCAAUAUAUAAUGAAGGCUACAAUCCCCAACAAUUUCCAACAAUAUAUCUAAAGUUAACUUUAUAAUUAUAGUAACAAAAACAAUAACAUAUAUGGUGAGAAUAAGGCCAAGUUUGGGAAUGCUUCCUCUACGGCAGCCACUUUGAUACUUCAGAGCUCCACAAAUCCAAAAGCAAAGUGCAGCUCCGCCCUCUUUGUAGCAACCAAUGAUCAUGAGAUAAUGGUGGGAUCUUGGGUUGAGAUGCUGAGUGCUUCAUGCAAGAUUCUACCAUACGAUAGUUUCGAUUGGAUAAUAGGAUAGUGUUUUUCAAUUCCGCGGAGCAAUAAAGCAUCAAACCAACUGCUACAGUGGAAGCAUUCCUAAACAAGGCCUAAGUUGCAUUGAUCAAUCAAUUCCAAAUAAGAAAGCAUUUUUAUGUCGUUUACACCCAACUAUGCCCCAAAGCCAAUCCUUUGAGAAGAUUAAAAUUAAUUUAGCACAAAAAAGUACACCAAUUUCCUAAGAAAGCAUAGAAACUUCUCUCCGAAACAGAGAUUAAAACUAGAUCUCUAAAAACUAAAGGCUAUCAUUAGCGUUACAAGAUUUGACAGACCAAAAUUUGUUCAUCAGUGUAUUUCAUCUUCGUUAUUUCAGUACUUCAAAAGUGCUUUAUAUUCGAAGGAGAAAAUCAUAUUACAACAGGAAAAAUAAAUAAUCAUCAUUAUUAUAACCAUAAUUACACCAUCCAUAAUUACACCAACCAGAAUUCUUACUAUCAACCAGCAAAUUAUCACAAAAUCACACUCGAAUUCGUUUCUAUUCAGAAUAAUUGCUACUGUUCAGAGAAAAAUCCAACGCAUCGUAUAAGAAUGGAACCUGGAAAGGGCGAUGGCCAAAGUUGUGCUCGUACACAUCGUUGGCGCGAUCGUUGAUGUCGAACGCCUCCACCACCUCUCCCCGAACCCCGGCCUUGAUCAAAGAAUACCUCUACACGAUCCAACAAUGGCGAAUUCGAAUCACGGAGAAGGAGAGAGAGAGAAUGGAAUGAGAGAGAGAGGAAACCCUAGAUCGAGGAGGGAUUUGCACGUACCAUGGCGCCGAUGCCGCUGUAGAACUCGAGGAUCCUCCACGGCUCCUCCAUUGCCCUGCGACUCGCACUCCCCCAAAGUCGAUCGAGUUUUGUUGAAUUUGCGUUCGCAGAGCGAAGAACGUGACUGGAGUAAAAUACGUGCCGGGUCGGGUCUAGUUUCGGGUCCGGUUAUAUUUGCUUAUCGGGUACACCUGGCUUGGGUCGAAUCGGAAAUAACUCCGACGCCUCUAUAUUUUCUUUUUUUUUAAAAAAAAAAAUCACUAGUUUGAGACAAGAAUUUGGAUCAACGUUUUGUAUGACCACGAACGCUAAAAUUUAAAACAUUAGUAAAUUUAAUAAAUCUAACAACUACUUGACUAGCAUAGUUAGUUAAAUUUUCAUGUCAUUUUAAAAAUAAGAUAAUUUCUAAUUAUUCUUAUCAUUAUUUUAUUUUAUUAGAGGGGGAAAAAUUAUAAGUACUUCUAAAAUUUUAACCGUCCUAAACACGAAACCAAUAUACUUUUAAAUAUUGUAAUUCCAAAUUAAAUUUUUAUUAUUUAGUAAAUAAUUGUCCGUUGGGUAGAAAUAAUUUUUAGCUUCCAUAUUUUUUUAUUUGCUAUAAAACUUGCUAACUUGUGAGUGUAUAUUUUUUUUGUUUUUUGGGUGCAUAUAUUGUGAUAUUUGGACAUUUAUUGAAAGAGAGGAGUGAUCUUUAUUGCUUGAUUUUACUUUUCAAUCAAUUGUUCGGUUACUAUUAUUUUUUAGUGGACGAUGUAUUUUUUCAGUACGUUUUUCUUUCCUAUUAUUUAUAGUUUUCGCUGCACCUCCUAUUAAGGAUUGUUUUUUUUCCCAUAUCUGGUAUGCCACGUUGGAUCAUUUGAAUUUAAUUAAUCCUAUUAAAUUAUGCAAGUUGGAUUUUUAAUAAAAAAAUAUAAAAAUUUUACAUUAUUUUAUAAUACAUAUGAAAUUUAUGUUGGCUUUUUUAUUAUUGAGCUUCGGAAUGCAAAUGGAUUCAGGGUGGUGGUUCUCCCGCUACGAUCCAUUUCGAAUGGGACAGUAAAUAAAAAUAAAAACUAUAAAAAAAAUAUAAUCCAUUCCAAAUCCGCUCCGAUUUGCAAGUAAAUGGAGUGGGAGGCAGGAGACAUUUUUCGUCCUUCAAAAUGCUUCUAUUCGUCAAAACUUCGCUCCCGCCUCGAUCCGCUCCGAAUGAGACAGUAAAUAGGAGCUAAAAAUAAAAUGAAAAAUAAUCUACCCUAAGUUUACACCGUCCUGACAAGAAAUGAAGUAAGAGGUGGGAGAACAUUUCCGCCCUUGGAUCCGUCUCAUUUGCAUCCCUAAUUAGGCUAGAAUAAGUUCAGCUUUUUAUCCGGUGAUAAUAGACCUAGGAGAGUAAUAAGUUGAGUUUGAUGAGUCUAAUAAGUUGAGUGGAUCUGCGAUUCAUAAGAGACUUAAACGGUAAGAGACUCAACAAACCCAAUUUACAGGCGGGUUGAGUCGGAUCGAAACCCGCGAGCUCUGUGGUUGAGCCCUUAAAUGCGAUAAGUGCGUACUUUCUACGAGUUUUUUCGGAAUAAUUGGUUAGCGCAUAUAAUCUAUAAUUUAUUUUUAAAAAAAUUUUAUAUUAGAUAUUUUUUUUUACGUAUAUUGUUCUCUGAAUUUUGUACCGCUGAAAUCUAAUUCUACGAAUUUUUUUAUUCAAAAAAACCCGUUGAUCUAAAUCAAGCUCCCCUCUGAGACACCUCAGCACGAAUCUCCACGCACACCACACGCCACACGAGGCACGUGCGACCGCUCCACCACUCACACGAUUGCAACCUCCCACGAGGCCACGAUCCCAUCCGUCCAUCCAUCCAUGGAUCCACCCCCUCUCACACUGUCCCUUGUUUUCUCACUCCCCGUAAAAUACAAAACCCCACAAGCUCAAAUAAUAGAGAGAGAGAGUAGAGAGAGAAAAAGAGGACACACGAGUUCAAAUCCAAAGGGGCGACCUGAGAACUCCGUAGGUGGUGGCGGCGACGCGAUGUGGCGGAGAGCCUCCUCCCACCUCCAAACCCUAGCCGUGCUCCGAUCCACCCUCCGCCGCGAUCCACCCCUCAUCCGCCACCGCGGCGGCGUAGCCCUCCUCUCCUCCGCCGCGCUCCGGCGAACCUCGCCCCUUCUCGCCCCCGAUUCCGGUGAGAUCUCCAUCUCCCUCUCUCCGAUCUAAUCCCUCCUCGUUGCCUUCUCUUUGUUCCGAUCGCUAUGGAGAUUUGUUGCUCGAUUCGUGAAGGCGAUGCCCCGGCGAAGAAGAGGGUGGAGGACGUGAUGCCGAUCGCCACGGGGCUCGAGCGCGAGGAGCUCGAGGCGGAGCUCGAGGUGCGCCUAGAUCGAGCUCGUUGGUUAUUUGUGUUUUGUUUCUUUCCAAAUGGCUUGGGAUUUAGGGGAAUUUGUUAGUUGUUGUUGAUGGAUUGAUUGUUGUUUGUUGUAGGGGAAGAAGCGGUUCGAUAUGGAUCCUCCGGUUGGACCGUUCGGAACCAAGGUGUGUUAGUUUCCUGAAUCUGAAUCUUCCAAUUCGCUAUUUAUCCACAAUUUGAUGUCUUCUGUAUUUGUGAAAUUUAUGUGAAUUUCAUGGGAUAGAAAUUGCAAUUUAGAUUGUCUGUGCUUGAUUGUGUUUGCUUUAGGACUUUAGAUAAACGUAGUUUCUCAGUGUUGAUCGAAUUAAUAGUUGGAAAAUUGUACUCAUCCUUUUCUUUCUUCAAAUGCUUGUGUAGAUUAUUUAGGAAUUAUGAUGAUGAGCUUUGGGCCUUCUCUCGUAUGCCUAAAUGAGGUGCAUCAGAACUAUUAAGAUUUGAUACAAGAUUGGUGGUUAAAGCCUUGCACCUCAGAACUAUUAAGAUUUGAUACAAGAUUGUUGGUUAAAGCCUGGAGCACAACUUAAUAUUUGAAAGGCAGUGUUCAAUGGCUCUUAACCUAUCUCAGGUUUUAGACAUGGGCUUUAUAUCCUUGCCAUAAGUAAAAUAAGACAAGAUAAAUGAGCUACAAUGAAACUCAUAUGCUAACUAGCUUUUAUGAAUUCUUUUGUCUUAUUUCCUGGAUACGGAAAGACAGGAAGAGUCUGGAUGAAGGGAAAACAAUAGUGUAGGGAGUUCUCUUCAUAUUUGGGGCACAAAUAAACUGAAGAGUUUCAAGGAAAACUCCAAUUAAGACCAAGAUCAUAAAGAAAACUCUACCAGUCAUGAUUUUGUUCGUCAUGUUACAUAGUCAAGAUCAAGUAUUAUCUAACCCCAGCUAAAUCAGCUGCCAAGGUUACAAAUUUUUAGCUUAAUCAUCUUUAAGUAUAAAUUAAGACAACGGUUUUAAGUAUUAGUAGAUUUAUUGUUUACAUUAGUUGAUUUAUUUAAUUGUAAUUUGUUACUUGAGUCGUUGAGUUAAAAUGCUAUAUGGAAAUUCAUAUCCUUUGUAUUGCCACAAUCAGCUCAACCAAUCAAAUCAUUUUGGUGGCAGCAGCUCAUUUAAUUUGAGCUAGAUAACUAGGUGGUAGUUUUUCUAUACUGGCUUGAGCUUGGUUCGAUGAUCUUGCUAUUACAAAGUUAGUUGUAACUGGUUGGUGGGUUUUAAGCAAGCUUCACUUGUUUAGGAUCAGCAAUUAGAGGCACAUUUGGCAUUGUGAAUUUAUUUUUAGGCUCUAAAUUUAUAGGUGUAUUUUGCAUUGCCACUUUGUUUUCCAUUUUCUAGGAUUGUUGAUUGUUUUAUAUUAUUGAUCAACAUGUUUGGCAUUGAUUGUUAGUUUGGCUCCUUUUUUCUUUUUCCCCCCCUUCUUAAGGAACAUAGUUGUAACAUUUUUUUGUCAUAAAAACAUGGGUUGUUUUUGCAAGCAAAGAGGCAGCGACAAAUUUAAAGGUGUAGUUCAAUACAUUUUAAUAUUUAGUCUUCUUAAAAUUACGACAUAAUAACUAUUGUAGAUGCAUUAUAAGGAUAUGUUUAUAUGCAGUGAUUUGUGUGGAUUAGAGUUCUGUUUUGUCAUUGGAAGGUUAUCUUCCCUUUAAUACCUUUUUUGAUAUUUAGGGCUUGUUUGGUUCAUCCAUUUGGGGUAUGGAAUGAGAAUCAGUUUGAUCAAAUCCGGUUAAUUUUGUUUGGUUCGCAUGAAUCGGUUUGAGAUUCUUAUUCCGGACUGGAAUGGGAAUGACCCAUUAGCCUUCAACUUGAUUCCGGUCUUCUAGCCCGGAUUGAGAUUUCAUUCCGGAAGCCCACUAAGUUUUCGAAAUCCAUGUGACCAUCUCACCCUCCUUCUCUUCACCCCUUUCUCAUCAAAAAAAAAAAAAAAACCUAUCCUCUCUCAAAAUCCUAUCCCUAACCCACAUCAAUAAAAGUUUUUAAAAAUAAAUUUGAUAUUUUUUUUGGAAAACUUAUUAGAGAAUAGUAUUAUAUUUUUCAUAAAUUUUAAAUAAUAUAAAUUUAUAUUUGAGAGUAAAAUUAGUAUUAUAAUAUUCUAUAAUUUUUUGAGUUUAUACGAACCAAACAAUGAAAUGUGAAUAACUCAUUCCAAUUCCCAAUCCACAAAUAAACCAAACGUCUUGGGGGAGUGGGCCAUUCCAAUUACCAUUCCAAUUCAUUCCCAUUCCAUUAUCCAUUCCAAUUCCAUCUUUGAACCAAACAAGCCCUUACUGUCUAGCGACUUGUUUGAUUAAUGGAAGCGAUAUAUGUUUGGUACAAGUCUGGUAGUCAGCUUUCUGUGAUUACUAACACUGGAAAUUGGGCCCGUGUUAACUGUAUUUUCAUAUGAUUUAGAAUAUUUUAUUGCAUUCAUCUCUUGAUACUUGUUUUAAGAUUUGAAGAUACUUAGAUUAUUGUUUCUUCCAGGUAUCUUACUUGUAUUGAUAAUAUGUAGUGGCUCCUUAAUUUCUGCAACACACCUCAGGGCCUGUUUGGCAAACUCGUAAUACAGAGUAAUAAGUUAGAUUGCUCUGUUUCUUAAAAAAACUCCUUUUUUCCUAGUUGGUCCAUUUGGAAGGUUCAAUAAAGUAAAAAAAAUUACUUUGUAAUAUAAAUCUUAUAGAGUAAUUUUGGCGUUAAAAAAAAUUGAUUGGAGCUCUUUAAAAAAAUACUUUACUCGUUGCGUCGCUUCCCCUCACCCCUCCUGCCGCUCCUUUUCGUUCUUCCGCCCCAUCCUUUCCCCUCCACCCUCUCCCUCUACUCCCUCUGACUUUGACGACGACGGCGACAAGAUGUGGGAGGCGCUGCCGAUGACGCCACCGCUGACUGUGCGCCCCUCCACCUCCCCGUCGCGGCCGCUGCAGCCCACAGAUGCUCUCGCUCCGAGAUGGGACACCGGUGGGUUCUUCAUGUUGGGUUGUCUAGACGAAGGGUGGUGAUGAAGAUGGGAGGGAUGAGGAGGUGGUGGGUUUGAGCAGGGAGAAGGCAGUGGGGAUGGGUUUGAGCAAGGAGAAGGUGGUGGUGGUUGUGGGCUUUUUUUUUUCACAGUAAUUUUUUUUUUUUUUGCAAAUUUGAGCCAAACACUAAAAAACAGGGUAAAAAAUUAUGAAGUAUUAAGAUUUUGGUAUCAAUCUAUCACAAUAAAAGAUAAAACUCUGUUUUUAAUCUCUAAGAUUGCCAAAUAGACCCUUAAUUGCUGUGGUAUCAAAGCAUAAAACAUUAACACAUUGUUUCUCUGCCAUUUUUCACCCACUGUUUUUCUUGCUGUUCUGUUUUUAGCCUGCAGCCUGCCUCAUGAACAGAUACUUCAGCGAAAAAUAACAAAUGAAUUAAGGAGAAUUUGUAUCUCUUUCCUUUAGUUCUGCUUCUUUCAAUUUUGGCUGUUAGUCACUAGAAAACUACUGUGACUCUUUCUUUGUUUUCUUAUUGUGGUUUUUUUAUAGGAAGCACCAGCUGUCAUCGAGUCCUACUAUAACAAGAGAAUUGUCGGUUGUCCUGGUGGUGAAGGAGGUACCAAACCUUGAAAUAUAGCUCUUCUUCUGUACUUGUAGCCUUCUACAUUCAGAAGUCCUAAUAUUUUAUACAAAGAAAGGAUUCAACUUUUCGGAACCACUUAUUUGCAGAGGAUGAGCACGACGUCGUAUGGUUCUGGUUGGAAAAGGACAAACCACACGAAUGCCCAGUUUGCUCCCAAUAUUUUGUGGUAAUUGAGAUGGAUUAACAUAUUUAAAAUUUACAUUUUCUAUGUCCAACAAGAAUAAAUUGCAUAACAACAUGAUUUCUGUAUUAACAUGAAGAGCCAUGAUAUCUUCUGCAGCUGAAGGUGAUUGGCGACGGAGGAGAUCCGGACGGCCAUGGUGAUGAUGAUCAUCACUGACCAUGCACGCGCUUCCGCAGAAUAAAAAUUGGUUGCGAAGAUGAGGUCUGUAAUACUUUGUAGCAUCGAGACAGCUUUGUGCUUUCUCUUCCCGACAAGUAUUCUUGUUCUUGACCAUGAAUCUGGUGGUUUUCUUUAUCUGAGAAUUUUGCUUAUUCCCGCAAUUCGACCUGUGAAUUUCUUAGCAUUUUUAUAAUGCAUCAAAUAAUGGAGGGACUCGUUGAUCGUCGAUUAUUCUGUUCUUUCGUCUGUUUCCAUUACCAACCGUUUGAUGGAUUCCUCUGUUUGGGGUAAUCUGUAGUGUCUUGUACAUUCAAUUUGACGAUUUCUUUUUUCUUUCUUCUGGGUGGAAUUUUUAUAGCCUCGCAAAUUUUGCUACGAAAAACACUUUAUGGAGUACUUAAUAUAUAUUAGCAUUUUUGCGGGUAAAUUUUUCACUCCUAUGGGAGUUUGAACCUGAGUCUCUCCCGUGGGGGAGCUUGCUAACCGUAACUAAACACCAUGCUUCUAAUGGUACUUCUUGUAUAGUAUUUUAUAAAUACUAACAUUACCUACACUCUUAAACAGGGCUAAAGUAGACCCUACGCUAGUAACAGCGUUCAUUUUACGGAAAAAAAGAUAAUAGCUUUUGUGCAGUAAAACAAGGCUAAUGAACCAAGUAGUAAGGAUAAGUAAUGCUGCUUCAAAUGCCAUUUCGAAUUUCGUUUGAGAUCUCAUGUGUGUAAAUAACAAGACUCCCAGCUGUGUUUCUAGAACAAAAUCUUCCUGUUUGCUCUUUUGUGCUUUGUAGUAUUUAUAUGCUCUAAGGCUACCACCUACAUGGCCAUACAUAGGGUUGGUAACUUAAGUAGGACAAAUGGACAAUUUUAACUUAUUUCGGAGGGUAUCAAUCCGCCUUAGCAUAGAUAGAUAAGGUACUCAGCUCUCAAGCUGUGGGUCCCGAUUCAAUUCUAUAUUCUAUCAAAAUAAAAAUUUCAGAUUUCAGUAAAUGUACGAACCGAGUCAGAAAUAAAAAAGAAAAGAAGCCCUCAAUGUAGAGGAUGCUUAUUCGGUAAAAAAAAGAAAAAAGAAAAUGAAAGGUGCAACAGUAUAAAUCACACCUAAACUAUAGCAUGCUUUAAAAUAGCUAUAUUAUUUUUAAAUGUUAGGAUUUCACUAAUUUGAAUUGCUUUUCUAAUAGAUUAAAGAACCCUAAAAACUUUACUACCUAACUAUGAAGCAUUAACAGAAAUUUUGGUAGAAUAUACCGUUAAGUAACAAAACGUUCAAUCAACCUACGAAAUAUUACGAGAAAAAUAUUAUGAACACUUUACAAAUAGAAAGUUAAAAUCAAAAGUUGUUGAAGUUCAGGCGCCUAUUUUAAAAGUUGUGAUUUUAAAAGUUGAGGCAUCUUCAAAACGUUCAAGAGUUGGAGGUGUUAUUGGCUCUAAUACCCCAGUUAUCAUUGCACCUUAAUUUUGAUAAAACUCGUUCAAUCUAAAAACUUAGAUUUAGAGAUCGUGCGCAUGAGAUAUCUACAAAAAAUUCUAUUUUAUUAUUCAAUGUGGGACUAUUUAUAUGCGAAUUUCUGACCAGGUUAACUUUCUUUUCUUUUUUCCUUUUUCUCUGCGGUUCCUUGGCCACUACUGCUCCUACUAGUGAUUAAACUAAAAUAGUUGCAAUAUUUAGUUUAAUUUAAUCCAGUUGUUGGUUUAUUAUGGCCAAUUUUUACUUAGUUAAUGAAUUGAGCCGCGGUAACUUACAAGUGGUUUGCACUUACAUUAUAUUAUGAGACCAAAAAGAAGGGAAUAUUUUUCUUGUCCAAGUUUACUGCUAUACCUAUUUUCUAUUUCCACUAUAAUAGAACAAUAAAUUUUUUAUGACAUUUUUAUUCAACAUUCCUUCCACACUAUAUUAGUCUUAUAUUUCACUACAAAAAAAUUACAGUAAUUGCAAGUGCAUAACCAGUUUUGUAGUGAAAUGCUAUUCCUAGAAAUUUUAUUGUGGAAAAUGUGCGGAUGUUCCCUCUAUUAUCUCGACUUUGUGAUUUGGUCCAUGUACAUUUCACUUACACACUUUAGUUCAAAGAAUUACAUUUUAUUAUAAAAUAACCAUUUUGUUUCUGUUGAAAAUGGCUCAUUUAUUUAAGUUAUUACAUCAGAGCGUUAAAAAAAUUUAUCAGUACACCUUUAUCUUACACUCUAUCAAUCCAAGCAUUAAAACAAUCUUUUUAAAAUUUUAAUAUUACAAAAAAGAAUCAUGAUAAGACUACUGAGAUAAAAUUAAUUUUUAGAUGAAUAGAAUGUAAGAUUUACACUCACUUUUGUGUGUACAUAUGACAGGGUUCUUUACAAAAAUAUUAGAAUUAUUCUAUUGUGAAAAACUAAAGUAAAAUAAAUCAGAAUAGUAGUACGUAAACUAGAGCAUCUAAAGGAAGAACAAUGCUAGGUUUACAACCAAAAUAGAUUGUAAUUCUACACCUACCCUAUUCAAAACCCAAUUCUUUUUUAACCACUCUUAUCACACUUUUUUUUUUAAAAAAAAACCUAAAAUCUAGAAGAGCAUUGCUAGAUCUACAACCAAAAAUAGUUUGUAAUCCUACAACCACUAUAUCAAAAGCCUACCUUUUAUUACCCAUUUCAUUAUAUUAUUAUUAUUUUUACUAAAAAUAAAAAAAGAGCUAAUAAACUCUAGAACCUUUGGAUCAGGGGUCGUAGAGAUCAUAAACCGUUUUUGCUUGCAGGCUUGCCAUCUCCCAAACCACAAAGGGGUUAAUAAACUCCAGAAUUACUGUACGAGGGGCUGUGAAGAUUACAAUUAUUUCUGGUAGUAUACUCGGCAUUUCUAUUAAAAAAAAAGUACAUAGAAACUAAAUAGCAACCUCAUGAUAGUAUAGCGACUGUCGGAUCGUUGGCGCUAACCAUUAAUCUCAAAAGCUUGAGCUGUUAGAAAUACGCAAUGAAUUCACUUAAAGCGCACAGAUGCAGCGCCUACGGGUCUCGAUUGUGACUCGGCCCAACCAGCCUUACGUCACUUCGAACAUGACUCAGCCCACCCAGCCUCACGCUAUUUCGAACAUGACUCGGCCAACAUAGCCUCACGCCACAGGGUAGAAUGUUAGCCCAUUUAAGCCAACAGGUAAUCUGUUAUUUGGUUGGCUUCUAUAAAUGCCCAGAUGAGCACUUUUUUUUUUUCUUUUUUUUUUCUUUUUUUGUGGUUUAAUUGGCACUCUCUAUAAGCUGUCACCCCCUCAAGCCAAGAUGGGGGGCAGCUAAGUUGCUUAUCAAACAAUCCAAAGCCACACCUCCCCCACUCUACCUUGCAUAGUUUAUGUGUAGUUCUCCCCCACAUUCACCUCUAUUGAGUUUGUUAUAAAAAUGUAAAGGUGAAGUGCAUAGGAUUCUCUUUGCAUGAAGUGGAGAUAACAAGCUAAAUUGGGUGCAAACCUUUUCCAUAUUCUCCCUAAAGAGUGAGUGUGAGAGUUUUAGAAUUGACUCUCGUUCUUUAAUCCCCUAUUUAAAUUUGCAUCGUAGAGAAGGGGGGGUGCAUGGCCUACCACUUAGGGAAAAAGAAGCUCAAAAGUUUGUAGAAUUUGCAAAAGGUUAUCUCCCUUUUACAAAGCAAUUAAUAAGAAGCCCAACCCUGGAAUAGAAGAAGUUUGUUAUAAGAAGAAGAGCAAUUGAACUUAACAUCCUUAAUUAAGGAGAUCAUAGAUUAAUAAUAUUGAGUUUAUGGGUUUGAUUCUCUCUCUCAAGAAGAUGCUUAUUUUGUUGGAGUUCUUCUUAAUUAAGUAAAUGUGGUUAUUUUCUUAGAUUUUCUUCUUUAUUUUGUUGAGAAAAUGUAGCAUGCUACGGUUUCAUUUAAUAAAAAGGUGAACUAAGCAGCAAAUUGAGACAGCCAGGCCUGGAGAGAGAAGGAAAGAAAAAAAAAAAACAACUUACUUAUUGUAGUACAUAUCCCAGAGAUUUUUUAUGUGAGUGAAUAUUGGCUAACAAUUCUCUCGAGGUGAUCUUCUUUUUCUCGAAGAUUAUUUUAUUCCGCUCCAGCCAAAUAACCCACCAUGACGUGGCAAUUGUUGUCGGUUUGUGACCCCCUAAAGCGCAGCCUUUGAGUCUCCCCAAAAACUUCUUAUUUGGUAACAGGCCCUUCAGCACUGCUAGUCUGGUAUAAAUGGGGUUAUUUGUUAGAAACUUAUACAAAGUAAAUGGGGUUAUUUGCUAUUGCUUCAUGCUAGCUAGGAGAAUAAUUGCCUAAUGAUAGCUUGCAUGGAGGCCAUUAAUACUUGUAGUAGUGUGAAAUAGUUGAAGUUUUAUCUUUCUUAGUUUCAUGCACAAAACAUUGCUAAUGAUCAUGUACGUGCUAAUUAAUCACUUUCUUAGCAAAAUUAACAAGGGCAAAUGCUCUAAUUAAUGAUGAGCAAAAUUUUCAAUACCCUCGUGUAUUGACAUAUAUACCAUAGAAAAUAGAUGAUAUAAAUAUGUAAGAUAAACUCAGUGGGGGUAACUCGGACUGUUUGGAUCGAGCUCUCUCAGUCCAAACCAACGAGUACUAACUCGGACUUAGCAUACCAUUAGAUGUUUAAGACCCUAGAUUUGAGUCGAACAAUGCGUAUUAAUUAUUUGAGUUAUUAUUUUAUAUAAAUAUUCUUAUACAUGAAUUCUUCUCAGAACGGUCAUUAUCGAAUGGCGUAUGUAAUAUGUAACAAAAAACAAAAAUAGAAAGGAAAAAAGGAAUCUUUACCUAAACAAGAUGAUAAAGACAUACCACAAUUGUUUAUGCCAGCAAAUAGGAUUUAUGCUAAGAUUAACUAUUUAUGUUAUCAUAUUGAUGUAACUAAAUUCUAGAACCAUUUUCGAAUAAUUUGUUACUGUAUACUAUGAUUUUAUGAUUAUUUUAGUUGUGAGUUAAAUGUACCGAGACAAUUAAGGCUAGGCUUUCAUUAGCUAUAAUAACUCUCCUCAAAAUUCCUUAAAAUUUCGGAGCAACUUCUUCUAAAAGCUUAUAUAUUUUCACUAUGUGGCCACGCUGACGUUGGAAUAAAUAUAUAGCAAUCCCUAUUAUAUAUGUAAGUCAUGCACAUAAAACAUAACAAUUUCCAUGGACCUUAGAAUUUAACCCACAAAGGACAAAAAAAGAAAAAAAAAAAAGAAGAAAGAAAUCAUGGUGUUUCUUUAUUAAGUUCCUUCUUUCUUAAAAGUAUAAUAGUGUCCCACAAAUUAUUUAACUCCUUAUAAAGUUUUCAAGUUGAGAUGGAAACUUUAGACACAUAUGCUUUAAAUUAGUUGUAAAUAGAAGGUUAAACUGGAAUGACAUGUUAGGAUUUGGUUAGAUUUGUAGUUAAAUCCUAUUUGGAUAAGAAUUAAUAUUUAAAUCUGUUUGAGAUAAAUUAAGAUUUAAAUAUUAAUUCUGAGGCUGAGUCAGGCUGUGAGAGGUCUCUACAGCUGGUCAGUGAUUAUGACUUCGGUUAGGAUAGGUUUCGAGUCCUUGUGAUGUAGGAUUGGNUUAAUUAGAGGAUAAACCUAACUAGAUUAGGAUUAAUAUUUAAAUCUAUUAGAGAUUGAUUAAGAUAGAUUUAGAUAUUAAUUAAAAUAUGAAUCCUAAAUAUAUUAGGAUUGGGGUACGUUUUAAAUUGACCAUUAUAAAUAGGCAUUGUGGCUCUUUUUUUUUAGGGUAGUACGGUUGAGAGCCUGGAGGUGCUGUACCAGAGAGAGAAAGAGAGAGAGAGAGAGUUAUUGAGUGCACCUAGUGUACGGGUGCGCGUGGAUAAUUGUCUUUUUUAUCGGUUUAUAGAAGACGAGAGAAGGGUAGAAGAGAUUCAAGAAAGAGAGCUCGGGUUGUAGCUACUCUGUACAGAAGAGGAGUCAGGUGUAAUCUUCUCUUAUUUAAUGAAUCUUAUUUUACCUGCAUAUUUUUUUUCUUUUAUGAUUGUAUCAGCUUUUGCUGAGGAGACGGGUUUAUGGUAAAAACCCGAUUCGACGCUUCCGUUGCGGAAUCCCAACAAUCGAUACCGGAUCCACAACAGUCGGUAUCGGAGCGGGUUGCGGAUUCACGAGAUCCGGUACCGGGGUGAGUACCGUAUUCCCAACAAGUGGUAUCAGAGCUGAAGGUUACCGAUCUGCGGGAGAGAUCGACGGAGAUGGCCACGAAAUUCGAAAUCGAGAAGUUCGAUGGCAAGAACAAUUUCGGAUUAUGGCAAAUUAAAGUACGAGCAAUCCUCGUACAGCAAGAGUUAGACGAGACGUUGAACGGGAAGGAGGCAAAGCCGGCGGAGGUCACGGAUGCGGCAUGGACGAAGAUGGAGCGGAAGGCGCAGAGUACGCUUCAUCUAUCAUUAGCAGAUGAGGUUCUUUACAGUGUAGCCGGCGAAAAGACACCGGUGAAAUUGUGGAAGAAAUUGGAAGAUCUGUACAUGACCAAAUCCCUGACGAACAAAUUGUAUCUGAAGCAGCGACUGUUUACGUUGUGGAUGCAAGAAGCGGCGAGCCUACAUGAUCAUCUAAAUGAGUUCAACAAGGUGGUGGCCCAGUUGACUAGCAUCGAAGUCAAUCUGGAUGACGAAGAUAAGGCGCUGAUUUUAUUAUCUUCGCUACCUACGACAUAUGAGCAUCUAGUGACCACGUUGCUUUAUGGCAAGGAGACCAUAAGCGUGGAGGCGGUCACGGCGGCGCUUCUUUCGAACGAGAUGCAAAAGAUGACUCAGAAGUUUGGCACGCAAAGUCAGGAUGUAGGACUGGUGGUGACUGCGAAGAAGGAGGCGAGAAUAUCGGCGACCGGAUAUCGACAGAAGAAACCGCUAUCUGAGGUAGAAUGCUUUUACUGUCACAGGAAGGGGCAUAUCAAGCGCAAUUGUCGAAAACUUCAGGAUGAUCUGAAGGAGUUAAAGCGACAGAAGGAGCAAACUGUUGUGAACCAGGACGAGACGGUAUCAGCGACGGCGCAGACAGCAGAGUCGGAGAUGAUCGAUUCUGAUGUGUUGUAUGCGGCGACCGGAGGUGCGAAAAUUUCGGACGAUGCGUGGGUGCUCGAUUCGGCGUGUUCUUUUCACGUAUGCCCGGAGAAGGAGUCUUUUGCCACCUAUAAGGCGAUCAAAGGUGGAAAGGCGUUGAUGGGGAACGGGACAGCGUGCAAAGUAUUGGGAGUCGGCAUGGUGAAAAUCCGAAUGCACGAUGGGGUCGUGAGGACGCUGACAGGUGUGCGGCACGUUCCUGGAUUGAAGCGGAAUUUGAUCUCGUUAGGCGCAUUGGACUCGAAGGGUUGCGAUAUUUCAGCUUCAGGUGGAGCUAUGAGGGUCCGAAAACGAGAUCGGGUCGUAUGCGAGGCGAACAAGCGUGGGAACUUAUACGUUCUGAACGGGAGCACAGCCAGAACGGGAGCGAAGACGGUUUGGGUUCCAAAAGUUCGCGGAUGUGCAGUUGCUCGAGACGAAGCGACGGAUGCGGCGACAUCGAGCCGAGGAGACAAGCUCAAGGUGGAGCUUGCAUAGUGAGCUCGACGUAGCGGUUGAAAAUUACAAAUCAAACCAAGGUGGAGAAUGUUAGGAUUUGGUUAGAUUUGUAGUUAAAUCCUAUUUGGAUAAGAAUUAAUAUUUAAAUCUGUUUGAGAUAAAUUAAGAUUUAAAUAUUAAUUAGAGGAUAAACCUAACUAGAUUAGGAUUAAUAUUUAAAUCUAUUAGAGAUUGAUUAAGAUAGAUUUAGAUA